rnacentral:tRNA from 1 species
GCCUGGAUGGCGGAAUUGGUAGACGCGCUGGACUCAAAAUCCAGUUCUCGCAAGGGAGUGAGAGUUCGAUUCUCUCUCCAGGCA